rnacentral:rRNA from 1 species
AUUGAACGCUGGCGGCAUGCCUUACACAUGCAAGUCGAACGGGAACAGGUCUUCGGAUGCUGACGAGUGGCGAACGGGUGAGUAAUACAUCGGAACGUGCCCGAUCGUGGGGGAUAACGAAGCGAAAGCUUUGCUAAUACCGCAUAAGAUCUACGGAUGAAAGCAGGGGACCGCAAGGCCUUGCGCGAAAGGAGCGGCCGAUGGCAGAUUAGGUAGUUGGUGGGGUAAAAGCUUACCAAGCCGACGAUCUGUAGCUGGUCUGAGAGGACGACCAGCCACACUGGGACUGAGACACGGCCCAGACUCCUACGGGAGGCAGCAGUGGGGAAUUUUGGACAAUGGGCGAAAGCCUGAUCCAGCCAUGCCGCGUGCAGGAUGAAGGCCUUCGGGUUGUAAACUGCUUUUGUACGGAACGAAAAGACUCUUUCUAAUAAAGAGGGUCCAUGACGGUACCGUAAGAAUAAGCACCGGCUAACUACAUGCCAGCCGCCGCGGUAACAC